rnacentral:rRNA from 1 species
CCUACGGGAGGCAGCAGUGGGGGAUAUUGCACAAUGGGGGAAACCCUGAUGCAGCGACGCCGCGUGGGUGAAGAAGUAUUUCGGUAUGUAAAGCCCUAUCAGCAGGGAAGAAAGAAGACGGUACCUGACUAAGAAGCCCCGGCUAACUACGUGCCAGCAGCCGCGGUAAUACGUAGGGGGCGAGCGUUAUCCGGAUUCACUGGGUGUAAAGGGAGCGUAGACGGCCGUGCAAGCCAGGAGUGAAAGCCCGGGGCCCAACCCCGAGACUGCUCUUGGAACUGUGCGGCUGGAGUGCGGGAGGGGCAGGCGGAAUUCCUGGUGUAGCGGUGAAAUGCGUAGAUAUCAGGAGGAACACCGGCGGCGAAGGCGGCCUGCUGGACCGCGACUGACGUUGAGGCUCGAAAGCGUGGGGAGCGAACAGGAUUAGAUACCCCAGUAGUC